AUUGAACGCUGGCGGCAGGCCUAACACAUGCAAGUCGAGCGAUAGGCGGACGGGUGAGUAAUGUCUGGGAAACUGCCUGAUGGAGGGGGAUAACUACUGGAAACGGUAGCUAAUACCGCAUCCCCUUAGAUGUGCCCAGAUGGGAUUAGCUAGUAGGUGGGGUAACAGCUCACCGAGGCGACGAUCCCUAGCGGGUCUGAGAGGAUGACCAGCCACACUGGAACUGAGACACGGUCAAGACUCCUACGGUAGUCAGCAUAGGGGAAUAUUGCACAAUGGGCGCAAGCCGGAUGCAGCCAUGCCGCGUGUGUGAAGAAGGCCUUCGGGUUGUAAAGCACUUUCAGCGGGGAGGCGUUACCCGCAGAAGAAGCACCGGCUAACUCCGUGCCAGCAGCCGCGGUAAUAC
rnacentral:rRNA from 1 species